rnacentral:rRNA from 1 species
UACGUAGGGUGCGAGCGUUGUCCGGAAUUAUUGGGCGUAAAGGGCUCGUAGGCGGUUCGUCACGUCGGGAGUGAAAACUCGGGGCUUAACCCCGAGCCUGCUUCCGAUACGGGCAGACUAGAGGUAGGCAGGGGAGAGUGGAAUUCCCGGUGUAGCGGUGAAAUGCGCAGAUAUCGGGAAGAACACCCGUGGCGAAGGCGGCUCUCUGGGACGGUACUGACGCUGAGACGCGAAAGCGUGGGGAGCGAACAGG